UUGCUCCUUUGACGUUGGCGGCGGACGGGUGAGAAACACGUGGGUAACCUACCUAUAAGACUGGGAUAACUUCGGGAAAUAGGAGCUAAUACCGGAUAACAUUUGGAACCGCAUGGUUCUAAAGUGAAAGAUGGUUUUGCUAUCACUUAUAGAUGGACCCGCGCCGUAUUAGCUAGUUGGUAAGGUAACGGCUUACCAAGGCAACGAUACGUAGCCGACCUGAGAGGGUGAUCGGCCACACUGGAACUGAGACACGGUCCAGACUCCUACGGGAGGCAGCAGUAGGGAAUCUUCCGCAAUGGGCGAAAGCCUGACGGAGCAACGCCGCGUGAGUGAUGAAGGGUUUCGGCUCGUAAAACUCUGUUAUUAGGGAAGAACAAACGUGUAAGUAACUGUGCACGUCUUGACGGUACCUAAUCAGAAAGCCACGGCUAACUACGUGCCAGCAGCCGCGGUAAUACGUAGGUGGCAAGCGUUAUCCGGAAUUAUUGGGCGUAAAGCGCGCGUAGGCGGUUUCUUAAGUCUGAUGUGAAAGCCCACGGCUCAACCGUGGAGGGUCAUUGGAAACUGGGAAACUUGAGUGCAGAAGAGGAAAGUGGAAUUCCAUGUGUAGCGGUGAAAUGCGCAGAGAUAUGGAGGAACACCAGUGGCGAAGGCGACUUUCUGGUCUGUAACUGACGCUGAUGUGCGAAAGCGUGGGGAUCAAACAGGAUUAGAUACCCUGGUAGUCCACGCCGUAAACGAUGAGUGCUAAGUGUUAGGGGGUUUCCGCCCCUUAGUGCUGCAGCUAACGCAUUAAGCACUCCGCCUGGGGAGUACGACCGCAAGGUUGAAACUCAAAGGAAUUGACGGGGACCCGCACAAGCGGUGGAGCAUGUGGUUUAAUUCGAAUCAACGCGAAGAACCCUACCAAAUCUUGACA
rnacentral:rRNA from 1 species